UCUCUCUCUCUCCAUCCAUCCAUCCUCUCCUUUAGCUGUCCAUCCAUCCAUCCCUCUCCAUCCUCUCCUUUAGCUUUAGUUCUCUUCUUGGGCUAAAUCAAAUUUGGUACCAAAGCUAGAGGAUCCUGCUACUUUUUUCCUUUCUUUUGUUGGAUCUUCUUUCUACUCCCUCCGUUGUUACUUCCUUUGUUAUCAUGUUAUUAAACAGCAACUUUCAACAUCGACAUUCUUCAUCAACAUGUCAAAUAUAAGGAGAAAAUCUUUGGGCAUCCAGACACAAAAUUGACAUCUAUCAAUAAUUAUGUGACAUCAAUACGUACUACACUACAAGCAAUUGCAGCAGCCUAGACAUUGAAAAGCUCUCUAAGGCUGGAAUCAUAAAGAUAAGGAAGCUAAAGAAUCAUUGCAUGAAGAUCCUAGAAUCGAAGCUUUUCCAUAUGAAGAGCAUAUAAUAAAAUUCCAUCAUGCAAGGAUGUUGCAAUUGCAGAUUGUCAAUCCGGAAACUGGCAAUCGAGGAUCCAUAUAAUAUCCUAAUUGAAGAAGAUAAAAAUUAUGAAGAUUCACACGAGGAAAGCACAUCCCCAAAUCAUAUUAUUGCCAUGAAGUUAGUAAUUGCAGCCGAUCAUUAUCUUGAGAAUUUAUUCGAGCUGGACUUGAAUAAUCCUGUUGUUUGCUUCAAUUGUGGUCAAUCAAAUGGUGCAUGAUUAUAGAAGGAGAGAUAACACAUCAUCUAUCAAAUUUUUUUCGAUUGUGAGGGAGUCUGGCAUUGGUCUUAAACAACAAAUAUUGAAGAUCCAGUGAUAGAGUAUUAUGAUAGAAGUCAUCAAGAAAAAAUCAGGGAUGUGAUCCAUAUAGUGGAAGUGAAUGACUGACAGGGU
rnacentral:lncRNA from 1 species